CCACGCCCGCUCAAGAAACUACAAAGGAAUUCGACGGACCCCGCACAAGCGGUGGAUCAUGUUGUUUAAUUCGAUGAUACGCGAAGAACCUUACCAGGUCUUGACAUCCCCCGCGAUGCUUUAGAGAUAAAGCGGAGGUAUUCGGGGAGACAGGUGGUGCAUGGUUGUCGUCAGCUCGUGUCGUGAGAUGUUGGGUUAAGUCCCGCAACGAGCGCAACCCCUAUUGCUAGUUACCAUCAUUAAGUUGGGGACUCUAGCGAGACUGCCAGUGAUAAACUGGAGGAAGGUGGGGGAUGACGUCAAAUCAUCAUGCCCCUUAUGACCUGGGCUACAAACGUGAUACAAUGGCUGGAACAAAGGGAUGCGAAGCAGUGAUGUGGAGCGAAACCCAUAAAAACAGUCUCAGUUCGGAUUGAAGUCUGCAACUCGACUUCAUGAAGUCGGAAUCGCUAGUAAUCGCGGAUCAGAACGCCGCGGUGAAUACGUUCUCGGGGUUU
rnacentral:rRNA from 1 species